rnacentral:rRNA from 2 species
UUUAUCGGAGAGUUUGAUCCUGGCUCAGGACGAACGCUGGCGGCGUGCCUAAUACAUGCAAGUCGAGCGGACAGAUGGGAGCUUGCUCCCUGAUGUUAGCGGCGGACGGGUGAGUAACACGUGGGUAACCUGCCUGUAAGACUGGGAUAACUCCGGGAAACCGGGGCUAAUACCGGAUGGUUGUUUGAACCGCAUGGUUCAAACAUAAAAGGUGGCUUCGGCUACCACUUACAGAUGGACCCGCGGCGCAUUAGCUAGUUGGUGAGGUAA